GACCCGACUGCUAUUUGGGUGAGGAUAAGCCAUGCGAGUUGAAUGGGAUACCUAAAAAUCCCAUGGCAAACUGCUCAGUAACACAUGAUCAACUUACCCUAUAGAGGAAAAUAACCUCGGGAAACUGAGGAUAAUGUUCCAUAGUUGAAUCGGCUUGGAAAAGUUUUUCAAUAAAAGGGAUAAGAAAAAUGGUUCUUAUCUGCUAUAGGAUAGGAUCGUGCUCGAUUAUGGUUGUUGGUGAGGUAACGGCUCACCAAGCCGAUAAUCGAUAGGGGCCGUGAGAGCGGGAGCCCCGAGAUGGGUACUGAGACAACGACCCAGGCCUUACGAGGCGCAGCAGGCGCGAAACCUCCGCAAUACACGAAAGUGUGACGGGGUUACCCAAAGUGUUCUAUUUAGAACUGUGGUAGGUGAGUAAUGUCCCCUACUAGAAAGGAGAGGGCAAGGCUGGUGCCAGCCGCCGCGGUAAAACCAGCUCUUCAAGUGGUCGGGAUAAUUAUUGGGCUUAAAGUGUCCGUAGCCGGUUUAGUAAGUUCCUGGUAAAAUCGGGUAGCUUAACUAUCUAUAUGCUAGGAAUACUGCUAUACUAGAGGGCGGGAGAGGUCUGAGGUACUACAGGGGUAGGGGUGAAAUCUUAUAAUCCUUGUAGGACCACCAGUGGCGAANGCGUCAGACUGGAACGCGCCUGACGGUGAGGGACGAAAGCCAGGGGAGCGAACCGGAUUAGAUACCCGGGUAGUCCUGGCCGUAAACGAUGCAUACUNNNUGAUGGCACGGCCAUGAGCCGUGUCAGUGCCGUAGGGAAACCGUUAAGUGUGCCGCCUGGGAAGUACGGUCGCAAGGNUAAAAC
rnacentral:rRNA from 1 species